rnacentral:rRNA from 1 species
CNACCUGCCCAUCACUUGGGGAUAACCUUGCGAAAGUAAGACUAAUACCCAAUGAUAUCUCUAGAAGACAUCUGAAGGAGAUUAAAGAUUUAUCGGUGAUGGAUGGGGAUGCGUCUGAUUAGCUUGUUGGCGGGGUAACGGCCCACCAAGGCUACGAUCAGUAGGGGUUCUGAGAGGAAGGUCCCCCACAUUGGAACUGAGACACGGUCCAAACUCCUACGGGAGGCAGCAGUGAGGAAUAUUGGCCAAUGGGCGAGAGCCUGAACCAGCCAAGUAGCGUGCAGGAUGACGGCCCUAUGGGUUGUAAACUGCUUUUAUAAGGGAAUAAAGUGAGUCUCGUGAGACUUUUUGCAUGUACCUUAUGAAUAAGGACCGGCUAAUUCCGUGCCAGCAGCCGCGGUAAUACGGAAGGUCCGGGCGUUAUCCGGAUUUAUUGGGUUUAAAGGGAGCGUAGGCCGGAGAUUAAGCGUGUUGUGAAAUGUAGACGCUCAACGUCUGCACUGCAGCGCGAACUGGUUUCCUUGAGUACGCACAAAGUGGGCGGAAUUCGUGGUGUAGCGGUGAAAUGCUUAGAUAUCACGAAGAACUCCGAUU